rnacentral:rRNA from 1 species
UGGGGAAUAUUGGACAAUGGGGGGAACCCUGAUCCAGCCAUGCCGCGUGUGUGAAGAAGGCCUUAUGGUUGUAAAGCACUUUAAGCGAGGAGGAGGGUACUGGUAUUAAUACUACCAGGUACUGGACGUUACUCGCAGAAUAAGCACCGGCUAACUCUGUGCCAGCAGCCGCGGUAAUACAGAGGGUGCGAGCGUUAAUCGGAUUUACUGGGCGUAAAGCGUGCGUAGGCGGCUAAUUGAGUCGGAUGUGAAAUCCCCGAGCUUAACUUGGGAAUUGCAUUCGAUACUGGUUAGCUAGAGUGUGGGAGAGGAUGGUAGAAUUCCAGGUGUAGCGGUGAAAGGCGUAGAGAUCUGGAGGAAUACCGAUGGCGAAGGCAGCCAUCUGGCCUAACACUGACGCUGAGGUACGAAAGCAUGGGGAGCAAACAGG